AGAGUUUGAUCAUGGCUCAGAAUCAACGCUGGCGGCGCGCUUAACACAUGCAAGUCGCACGAGAAAGUGGAGCAAUCCAUGAGUACAGUGGCGUACGGGUGAGUAACACGUGGAUCAUCUACCUUUUAGUGGGGAAUACCUCCUGGAAACGGGAGACAAUACCGCAUAAUCUCGCGAGAGGAAAGCAGCAAUGCGCUGAAAGAGGAGUCCGCGGCCGAUUAGCUAGUUGGCGGGGUAACGGCCCACCAAGGCGAAGAUCGGUAGCCGGCCUGAGAGGGCUCACGGCCACACUGGCACUGAAACACGGGCCAGACUCCUACGGGAGGCAGCAGUGGGGAAUCUUGCACAAUGGAGGAAACUCUGAUGCAGCGACGCCGCGUGAGCGAUGAAGCCCUUCGGGGUGUAAAGCUCUUUCGACGGGAACGAUAAUGACGGUACCCGAAGAAGAAGCUGCGGCUAACUACGUGCCAGCAGCCGCGGUAAUACGUAGGCAGCAAGCGUUGUUCGGAAUUACUGGGCGUAAAGAGUGUGUAGGCGGUGCUCUAAGUCUGUCGUGAAAUCUCCCGGCUUAACUGGGAGGGUGCGGCGGAAACUGGAGUGCUCGAGGGUGGGAGAGGAAAGCGGAAUUCCUGGUGUAGCGGUGAAAUGCGUAGAUAUCAGGAGGAACACCUGCGGUGUAGACAGCUUUCUGGACCACUUCUGACGCUGAGACACGAAAGCGUGGGUAGCAAACAGGAUUAGAUACCCUAGUAGUCC
rnacentral:rRNA from 1 species